rnacentral:rRNA from 1 species
AUUGAACGCUGGCGGCAGGCCUAACACAUGCAAGUCGAGCGGAUGAAGGGAGCUUGCUCCUGGAUUCAGCGGCGGACGUGUGAGUAAUGCCUAGGAAUCUGCCUGGUAGUGGGGGAUAACGUCCGGAAACGGGCGCUAAUACCGCAUACGUCCUGAGGGAGAAAGUGGGGGAUCUUCGGACCUCACGCUAUCAGAUGAGCCUAGGUCGGAUUAGCUAGUUGGUGGGGUAAAGGCCUACCAAGGCGACGAUCCGUAACUGGUCUGAGAGGAUGAUCAGUCACACUGGAACUGAGACACGGUCCAGACUCCUACGGGAGGCAGCAGUGGGGAAUAUUGGACAAUGGGCGAAAGCCUGAUCCAGCCAUGCCGCGUGUGUGAAGAAGGUCUUCGGAUUGGAAAGCACUUUAAGUUGGGAGGAAGGGCAGUAAGUUAAUACCUUGCUGUUUUGACGUUACCAACAGAAUAAGCACCGGCUAACUUCGUG